AUGGUGCUGCUGCAAAAACACAGGGGAUGCAGGCGCCACGGAGGCACACUGGAACCUUGCAGCCAAGGUGGCCGGAGUCGCCCUUCCCCCCGCCCUAGCAACCGUGCUGUUAUGGUGGCUGGCGUCGCACUUCCCUUUUUUGCAGUCGCAGCCCGUGGCAAGGAUGCAACAGCGAUGUGGUUGCGUCUUUCCUCUUUGUUUUCAAACAUUGAACGGGGUUGGGCGGAGGAUGCAUCAAGGCGGCGUCCGGCGGCAGCCCCUGCCGAUUUUGUAGCUGCUACGGUGGUGCUCUUCAUGGGUACUCUCCUCUGA
rnacentral:rRNA from 1 species